GCAAUACACAGAUACAAGAACCAAAGAUUGAACUACAAGGACAUUCACUGGUGCUGAUAAAGUUGCGGAUAGUCAAAGGGAACUUACCCAGAGAUCCAGCUUCUUGGGCAUCUUAAUUUGUUCUAUGGUGCACACUCUGAAUUGAACCACACAGCUUGCCGGCUCCCAGCACAUCCAUAUGUUUCAUUACUUGUCAGGGAUUCAGGCACAGCAUCUGAAUUUCAUAACUUUACCAACCAGUACUUCUGACACCAUGCAUCAGUACCAGCCGUCCUCAGAGAGUGAUAAGCUAAACUAACAAAGUGCCUCACUAAACAGAAGAAGGUACAGAGAUGUUGCAUCCCCAUGGAAAAUCUGCUUUGGAAGGGUAAACUGCGAAAAAACUCAAAGGGAAAGUGAGUGACUGAAGUAGCAGUUGUGCAAGCAAACUUGCGGUAAUGUAUUGGGUGAAAAAGCGAUCGAAGACCUCGAGCAACAUAUGGUGAGAACAGAGCUCUGAAUGACAGCCAAAUUGUGUUUAAUAUGAAUAUUAAAAACAUGUUAAAAAAA